rnacentral:rRNA from 1 species
GACGAACGCUGGCGGCGUGCUUAACACAUGCAAGUCGAACGGAAAGGCCUGCUUUCCCUUGUGGAUUGCGGGUACUCGAGUGGCGAACGGGUGAGUAACACGUGAGUGAUCUGCCCCCAACUUGGGUAUAAGCCUGGGAAACUGGGUCUAAUUCCCGAUAGGACUGCAGGGUGGUGCCUGUGGUGGAACACGAUUUUCUAGUGGUUGGGGAUGAGCUCGCGGCCUAUCAGCUUGUUGGUGGGGUAAUGGCCUACCAAGGCGGCGACGGGUAGCCGGCCUGGGAGGGUGGACGGCCACAUUGGGACUGAGAUACGGCCCAGACUCCUACGGGAGGCAGCAGUGGGGAAUAUUGCACAAUGGGCGGAAGCCUGAUGCAGCGACGCCGCGUGGGGGAUGACGGCCUUCGGGUUGUAAACUCCUUUCGACCGCGAGGAAGCCACCUGGUUGGAAGGGUGGUGACGGUAGUGGUAGAAGAAGCACCGGCUAACUACGUG